AAGGUCUUGAAUAUAGCUUCAAAGUUAUAAAAAUCUUUUUUUUUAUGACAAUGCAUGUAUCACAUAUCAAAGCCAGGAUGCCAUAGUUUUAUGGCUGCAGCAUCACAUCAAAUAGAAAAUAUCUACAUGUCCUGUGCUUCAUUUUAUGUGAGUUACAUUGCCCUGGAAUUCAGCAGGAUAUGACAGGCCAUCACUGUAAAUAAGAACUUAUUCUUAAUGGUUUGCCUGGAUAAAUAAAGGUUAAAUAAAUAAAAAAUAAAAUAUAGAUCUAAAUAAAGUUCUGUGUGUUUGCACAAAGGUCACGUUUGUAAUGACAACCCCGCUGCAGAGCUGCAGACACCCAAUAAAUCUGAUCUAGCAUCACUGAUCUGACCUUCUGAAUACAUUUUUACUGAAUACAUUAUAUCUUGAUAAUUAACAUUUCCUUGUUAUCUUUUAACUUUUUGUUUAUUUUUCAUUCUAACUAAUAUAUUUGUAUUUAUUUUAAUUUUGGUCAUUUUCUUGUAACUGUUUACCGAUUUCUUGCCUAUUUGCCUAAAGGAGGCGCUCUCACUGCAUCUCAGUCUCAUAUUUUGUCCCAGCAGGGGAGAGAGAGAGAGAGAGAGAGAGAGAGAGAGAGAGAGAGAGAGAUGGGUGCUCGAACAGGGAAACUGCAGCAGGACACACAGCAGCGUCCAGAGAGCAGGACGGACUCUGCACGGUGCAGCUCUGAGCCCAAACCCCCAGACCCACAGCAGAUCCAGAGACCAGAGCCUGAAGCAAACAGAGGUCAGGCCUGGUUUACAGAGAGUAUGGAAACCCGUGCAGAUCUCUAGACCGGAACCAGAUCCCUCAGACUUACAGGCGCGAGCGGAGCCACACGGCGGCCUGGAGCAGCGCCCUCCGGGUUCAAAGCCCGAUCAGCUCUGUUCCAGCUGUGUUACCGUGAGGAGGACACACAGCCACAGUGCACGUUUCUGCAGUGUCAACACAAUCAGGUUGUCACGCCUUUGAUUUGAGCUGUGCACAUUGUACCGUUAACGACAAAGCAUGACGACACACUCAGGCACCAUCACGUCAAAGUUUAAUUUGAAUCUGCAAAGAUGGAGAUCAGACGUCCAUGUCGAAUAGCAGACCAAAUGAAACUUUUGUCAGUUUUGACUAAUGAAUGUUAACAUUUAACACUUGUGUGUGUGUGUGUGUGUGUGUGUGUGUGUGUGUGUGUGGUUGGUUGAUUUCCACCACCACCAUCCGUUUUUGACGUGGUGUAAAAGGUUCCUCAGCUCGUUCUUGCCCACUGCCACACCCUAGUCCCACAAAAUCUUGCAGCGUUAUGAGAAUCAGUUUAUGCAUAUUUAGGAAGUUAUGCACCUUGUUAUGGAAGGCCAGUCCCCAUUUUUUACCAGUCGCUGUAAAUGAGCUCUGUUUUGCCCCGUGAGCAAAACUUUCAAAACUUUUCAAACCUCAGAUUUUUGCCGUAUUAUGUGAAUCCACUUGGAAGGUAUAAGCUCUUUGUGAUUGGUGAUGCCGGAAGCCACAGCCCCCUGUCGACCAAUCAGCAUGAAAAGUUAAUCAGCUCUGUCCCGAUCCAUUCCUAACUUUUUAAGAAAUCCAGUUUGCAAAACAAAACAAACACAAAAAAACCCCCCAAAAAACAGGGUCAAAAACUGGGAACAAAGACGAAAAAACAGUAAACAAGACAUCACUUUUUGUUGGAUCACCUGAGCGGAACAGCCGGUAACACUAUAUACCCCUACCUGACUGACUGACUGACUGACUGACCUGUGAAAUGUGCAGGCUGGGGAAUUUUGGUUGAAUUUUCAUUUUGGUUUUGUAUUUGUUUGGCAUGUAUUUCUGCACUGUGUGUUUUUGAUUGUUUUUUCCUCUAAUAUUCUGAAGUAUGUGCUUGAUAAAUGCAUGUGAAGUGGCAUUAUGUGUAAAUAUUUUGGGAGCAUGCAGGGCACCUCUAUGUAAGAUUUUUGUUUUUUCUUUCCCUCUAAUGAUGAUGCACUGAUAUUCUGUCAGGAAAAAAAAAGGGAACUAAUGAGUGGACAUUGCAGGGAAUAUUAUUUGAACAUUUGACAUCAUAUUCAGUGUAUUUGUAUAUCAUCACUGUGUUGAU